GGCACAGUAUUGCAGAUCAUAUUGUUCGUGUGCGCGCGUUUUUCAGUCGUUGCACAAAGAAAAUAUUCAACCAAGAUUACAUAUGAAGACUACAUUCUAUGACAGGUGCGUUGACCUAUACACAUCGUGUCGUUAUUACAGUUCAUAUUCAUCCGCUGCACAAUAAUUUUUUACAUAUCAGACGUGACCGGUCGAGUAAUUGGUCCAUGUGCAGUUCGUUUUUUACAUUCCGUGGAAGCUUGGUUGCAGAACCUCGGACGGCACAUAGCUGGCGUCGAUCCUUGGACAAUC